GGGUAAAAUUUUGGAGUUCGGGGGGGAAGUGUAGUUUUGUGGGGGGGAAAAUGCGGUGCUUUGGGGGAAAUUGUGGCAUUUGGGAGCGAAACGUGGGGUUUGAAGAGAAACUGCGGCGUUUUGCUGCACGGCGUCGGUUUUUAUUGAGGAAAAAGGUACAAUUUGGAAAUAAAACUCGGGGUUUGGGGCCAAAAGGUGGCAUAAUCGUGGUUUUUCUUAGAAAUAAAGGCACUGCUGGGGGUAAAAUGUGGCAACGACCGUCACCAUGGCAACCGCCAUCAUGGCGACCGCAGAGGCUGCCAUCACCACCUCCCCCCCAUCCUCAUCCUGUCCCCGCAGCGUCCAAUGGGAAGAGCCCAUGGGGAAAGUGGGCAGGACCAAACGAUGGGAGGGGCCAAUGGGGAAAGUGGGCGGGUGGAAGCUAUGGGAGGAGCAAAGGAGGGAUUCCACCAAUGGGAGGAGCGAAUGGGGAAAGUGGGUGGGCCCAAACGAUUGGAGGAGCCAAUGGGGAAAGUGGGUGGGACCAAAUGAUGGGAGUGGGUGGGCUUAAACAGUGGGAAGAGCCAAUGGGAGGAGCCAGUGAGCAGAAUGGGCGGGCCCAAGCGAUGGGAGGAGCCAACGGGGCGAUGGGAGAAUGGGCGGAGCCAGAGAAGGGGUGUGGGCGGGCUCAACCGAUGGCAAGAGCCAAUGGGACCAAUGGGAGGAGCCGACGGGAGGCUGCCAUCACUGGGAGCCCUAUGGCUGUCAUUGCUGUUCCCCAUUGACCUCCCCAUUGUCCCCCAGGUGCUGCAGCGCCCACUGGCGGUGCCGGAUUUCGUCCCGUAGCCGUCGGUAUUCCUCGGCCGUGGCCUCCAAAUGGGGUCCGACGGCCACCAUGGUCUCCAGCGCCUCCCGUAGGGUUGCCAGCCGACGGGAGGCUGCCAUCACUGGGAGCCCUAUGGCUGUCAUUGCUGUUCCCCAUUGACCUCCCCAUUGUCCCCCAGGUGCUGCAGCGCCCACUGGCGGUGCCGGAUUUCGUCCCGUAGCCGUCGGUAUUCCUCGGCCGUGGCCUCCAAAUGGGGUCCGACGGCCACCAUGGUCUCCAGCGCCUCCCGUAGGGUUGCCAGCUCCGAUUGGGUGUGCGUGAGAGCGGCCUGCAGGUGGNNNNNNNNNNNNNNNNNNNNNNNNNNNNNNNNNNNNNNNNNNNNNNNNNNNNNNNNNNNNNNNNNNNNNNNUCUAUGGGGUGUCUGUGGGGCUCUAUGAGGUUCUAUGGGGUGUCUGUGGGGCUCUAUGAGGUUCUAUGGGGUGUCUAUGGGGCUCUAUGAGUUGUCUAUGGGGCUCUAUGGGGUGUCUAUGGGGCUCUAUGGGGCACUGUGAGACUCUGUGAGGCCCCACCUGAUUUUGCUGUGAGCCUCCAGGUGCUCCGGGCUGUACGUCUCCACCAGCAGCGUCAGCUCCUCCAACCUACAGGGCAGAAACAGCCCAUAAUAGUCACCGUGACGUCAUCGCAGCGACGGUGAUGUCAUCGCAGUGACGUCAUCACAGUGACGUCAUCGCGGUGCCACCAGCAUCGGGGAGGAACCAAUGGGGGGGGAUCCAACCAAUGGGAGGCGCCAAUGGACACAGUGGGUGGGACCAAGAGAUGGGAGGAGCCAAUGGGGGGGCUCUGCUUGUGGGAGGAGCCAAGGGAGGGAUCCGACCAAUGGGAAGAAUCAAUGGGUGGGACCUAACAGUGGAGGAACCAAUUAGAGGAGUUGGAGGACCCAAACUAAGGGAGCAGCUGCU
ensembl:lncRNA